GAGUGACGGCUGCUGAUGGAAUCUACGUGGGAAAGCCCUUCGCCAUCAAAAGGCUCUGGCUGUGUGGACGGAUGCAGAGUACUGCCCAUUGGCUCUGACCUAGCCAGGCACAAGCCAGCUCCGGGCUGGGAGCGCACCGCAGCGCGUGCUGGCUGGCCACUGACCCCGAGCUGUCCCAGCCUGGCUGGAACUGCAUCCCCACGUGCUGAGGAGAGCUGCCCUCCGGAAGGCGUCUCUGCUGCUGCUGUGAGAACACAAUCCUGGAAAAUACUGUCUGUGCUCCUCAGAAGGACUUGAUGCGAACUGUUGCCAGAGAUUUGUCACUCGGUGGAUGGAGUGCGGGAUGGAACAUAGCAGCUCCUGCUGGUGCCUUUGUCAUUGCUCCAAAGUGUGAGACCACUCGUGCAGCAAGGGGAGGGAGAGGGAUCAGAGCUCAGGAUGGUCCUCAGGUGGAGAAAGGCAGCAUGGAGAUGGCUACAGUGAGAAGAUCAAUGCUCAAGCAAGGCCACCGGGUUCAUGCCAGCACCCAGAGACCAGGGCUCUGGUGUCCCCAGCCCACAUGCAGUGAUAUCCAAAAGAGCAUGGGAUGUGACAGAAGUCACCCAUCAGAGACAGGCACGUGGGAGUGUAGCAAGAGAUGUUUUGUAAUCAUAAAAGCAACCAACAGCAUUGUAAAGGCCGCAAAGCAGAGACUGGUGAGAAUGUGUAGCUCCAACAUUCAGCAUGAAUUGGCAAAGCAGGCAUGUAAGUAAUCAUAGAGGGCCAUUGUGCGACUGAGUCCAAACUGCUGUUUGAUGAAAUUACUUCUCUGAAUAAGUCUCACUUAACCUACAGUAAAUACCUCUGAAUAAAAUGUCCAGCCUUAAU
rnacentral:lncRNA from 7 species